GUCGAGCGGACAGAAGGGAGCUUGCUCCCGGAUGUUAGCGGCGGACGGGUGAGUAACACGUGGGUAACCUGCCUGUAAGACUGGGAUAACUCCGGGAAACCGGAGCUAAUACCGGAUAGUUCCUUGAACCGCAUGGUUCAAGGAUGAAAGACGGUUUCGGCUGUCACUUACAGAUGGACCCGCGGCGCAUUAGCUAGUUGGUGAGGUAACGGCUCACCAAGGCGACGAUGCGUAGCCGACCUGAGAGGGUGAUCGGCCACACUGGGACUGAGACACGGCCCAGACUCCUACGGGAGGCAGCAGUAGGGAAUCUUCCGCAAUGGACGAAAGUCUGACGGAGCAACGCCGCGUGAGUGAUGAAGGUUUUCGGAUCGUAAAGCUCUGUUGUUAGGGAAGAACAAGUGCAAGAGUAACUGCUUGCACCUUGACGGUACCUAACCAGAAAGCCACGGCUAACUACGUGCCAGCAGCCGCGGUAAUACGUAGGUGGCAAGCGUUGUCCGGAAUUAUUGGGCGUAAAGGGCUCGCAGGCGGUUUCUUAAGUCUGAUGUGAAAGCCCCCGGCUCAACCGGGGAGGGUCAUUG
rnacentral:rRNA from 2 species